AGUCUUAUAUUCAAUGAUGAUAUAAAAUUGCAAAUUUUAAGGUGAAUUUUUUUUUUCUAAGGCUU
rnacentral:tRNA from 1 species